CCUAGCAGUAUCCUGAGUACGGCGGGACACGAGAAAUCCCGUCGGAAUCUGGGAGGACCAUCUCCCAACCCUAAAUACUCUCUAGUGACCGAUAGUGAACCAGUACCGUGAGGGAAAGGUGAAAAGCACCCCGGGAGGGGAGUGAAAUAGAACCUGAAACCGUGUGCCUACAACAAGUUCGAGCCCGUUAAUGGGUGAGAGCGUGCCUUUUGUAGAAUGAACCGGCGAGUUACGAUAUGAUGCGAGGUUAAGUUGAAGAGACGGAGCCGUAGGGAAACCGAGUCUGAAUAGGGCGGAAUAGUAUUAUGUCGUAGACCCGAAACCAUGUGACCUACCCAUGAGCAGGUUGAAGGUGAGGUAAAACUCACUGGAGGACCGAACCAGGGCACGUUGAAAAGUGCUUGGAUGACUUGUGGGUAGCGGAGAAAUUCCAAACGAACUUGGAGAUAGCUGGUUCUCUCCGAAAUAGCUUUAGGGCUAGCGUCGACAUUAAGAUUCUUGGAGGUAGAGCACUGUUUGGGUGAGGGGUCCAUCCCGGAUUACCAAUCUCAGAUAAACUCCGAAUGCCAAUGAAUUAUGGUCGGCAGUCAGACUGCGAGUGCUAAGAUCCGUAGUCGAAAGGGAAACAGCCCAGACCACCAGCUAAGGUCCCAAAAUAAUUGUUAAGUGGAAAAGGAUGUGGGGUUGCACAGACAACUAGGAUGUUAGCUUAGAAGCAGCUAUUCAUUCAAAGAGUGCGUAAUAGCUCACUAGUCGAGUGACCCUGCGCCGAAAAUGUACCGGGGCUAAAACAAUUUACCGAAGCUGUGGAUACCUUUAUAGGUAUGGUAGGAGAGCGUUCUAUGUGUGGAGAAGGUGUACCGUGAGGAGCGCUGGAACGCAUAGAAGUGAGAAUGCCGGUAUGAGUAGCGAAAGACAGGUGAGAAUCCUGUCCACCGUAAGACUAAGGUUUCCAGGGGAAGGCUCGUCCGCCCUGGGUUAGUCGGGACCUAAGGAGAGACCGAAAGGUGUAUCCGAUGGACAACAGGUUGAUAUUCCUGUACUAGAGUAUGUAGUGAAGGAGGGACGCAGUAGGCUAACUAAAGCGUGCGACUGGAAGUGCACGUCUAAGCAGUGAGGUGUGAAUUGAGUUAAAUGCUUAAUUCUAUAACAUUGAGCUGUGAUGGGGAGCGAAGUUUAGUAGCGAAGUUAGUGACGUCACACUGCCAAGAAAAGCUUCUAGCGUUAAUCAUACUCUACCCGUACCGCAAACCGACACAGGUAGUCGAGGCGAGUAGCCUCAGGUGAGCGAGAGAACUCUCGUUAAGGAACUCGGCAAAAUGACCCCGUAACUUCGGGAGAAGGGGUGCUGGCUUUCAGUCAGCCGCAGUGAAUAGGCCCAAGCAACUGUUUAUCAAAAACACAGCUCUCUGCUAAAUCGUAAGAUGAUGUAUAGGGGGUGACGCCUGCCCGGUGCUGGAAGGUUAAGAGGAGUGCUUAGCGGUAACGCGAAGGUAUGAAUUGAAGCCCCAGUAAACGGCGGCCGUAACUAUAACGGUCCUAAGGUAGCGAAAUUCCUUGUCGGGUAAGUUCCGACCCGCACGAAAGGCGUAAUGAUUUGGGCACUGUCUCAACGAGAGACUCGGUGAAAUUUUAGUACCUGUGAAGAUGCAGGUUACCCGCGACAGGACGGAAAGACCCCAUGGAGCUUUACUGCAGUUUGAUAUUGAGUGUCUGUGCCACAUGUACAGGAUAGGUAGGAGCCAUUGAGAUCGGGACGCCAGUUUCGAUGGAGGCGUUGUUGGGA
rnacentral:rRNA from 1 species